UGCAAAGGUUGAAAGUCUGAGGACCAACUGUAAAUCACAUUUUUGCAGUUGCCAAACGAACGGUUGUUAACUCAAGAACUCCCUGCAUCCUAAACAUACCUAUCAACGUCUAGCAGCACGGCAAGAGGGCUUUGGAACAUCUUCAUCUCCCACAUAUAUAUAAUGGAAGGACAUUAGACGCUCGGGAAAACAAACCCAAAUGCUUCUGGAAAGUCUCUUCACUGUGCAAUUAUAUAUUCAACUUCUUCAGUUGCUAAAAAUAUGUUUCAAGAUCCUCACAAAUUGGCUGCUUUGCCAAAGAUGCUUGGCCAUGCUACUCCAGACUAAGAAAGGAUUCUCUCCUGAUUCAAGGAUACCUCAAUUUCAGCCCACGGAAAAAAUAAAUCACAUACUGUACUGCA